GUCGAAUAGAGGUCAAAACAUGUAAAAAUUGAAACGAUACAGAGGUGAUUAGCAUGACCCCUGAUGAUGGAUGACACACACCAAUUGAGAAAUAGUCCAAAUUUUU